rnacentral:ncRNA from 1 species
CACCGCCUGUCGCUACUACCGAUUGAAUGGCUCAGUGAGGCGUCCGGACUGGCCCAGAGAGGUGGGCAACUACCACUCAGGGCCGGAAAGCUCUUCAAUCUCGGUCAUUUAGAGGAAGUAAAAGUCGUAACAAGGUCUCCGUUGGUGAACCGGUAGGAA